AUUGAACGCUGGCGGCAGGCCUAACACAUGCAAGUCGAGCGAGCGGCGGACGGGUGAGUAAUGUAUGGGGACUGCCCGAUAGAGGGGGAUACAUACUGGAAACGGUAGCUAAUACCCCAUACUAUCGGAUAACCCAUAUGGGAUUAGCUAGUAGGUGAGGUAAUGGCUCCCCUAGGCGACGAUCCCUAGCUGGUCUGAGCGGAUGAUCAGCCAAACUGGGACUGAGACACGGCCCAGACUCCUACGGAGGCAGCAGUGGGGAAUAUUGCACAAUGGGCGCAAGCCUGAUGCAGCCAUGCCGCGGGUAUGAAGAAGGCCUGCGGGUUGUAAAGUACUUUCAGUAGGGAGGCGUUACCGACAGAAGAAGCACCGGCUAACUCCGUGCCAGCAGCCGCGGUAAUUC
rnacentral:rRNA from 1 species